UAAUGACCAGCAGUGAUUGCAACAGAGCGAGUGUUGGGUACAAGCAAGACGUUCUUCUUCUUUCUCUGUACCAAGCACAACCCUGGGAAGGGUUUUGUGACCUACUGCCCAAGGGGUGCCGGGAAGCAGACCUACCUGCUGAGGCUGCCUCAGUCACCAACCUCCUGACGCUCUCCGAGGAGCCUGGCUCAGGCUGUCUCCUUCCUCCGUCUUGUGAGGAUACGUCUUGAAUUUUACAAGUAACACAGACUGAAUUUCAUGACCUACAUGAAAGAUCCAUUUUAUUGAAGUCCAAUGGAAGAUGAGCUGCAAAGAUUUUACACCCUUCGUCUGCCCUGUCCACACUCUGUUAAUACCUAGAACGAACGUGGGAAUGGGAUUCACUCUUCAAAGUCUUGCAUAUGCCAGAGAAAGAAGGAAGUGUGUCAGUUACUUCUUAAAAACCUUCAAAAUGAAGUCUGCUAAUUAUUGGGGAGACAGUGUCUUCUACAGAAGUUCAGGGAAAGACAGCCUGCAAGACAACAGUGAUGGGCCGUUCACCGCAGACAGAAAAACUGCAGCACAGCCAAUCUUGCUUUGAGAAAAUGCUCGUGGAAAAUUUUUUUACAAGAAAAAUUUUAUCAUCAUGCAAACAAGCGUGAGAUUCAAUAAACAAAAA